rnacentral:rRNA from 1 species
AUUGAACGCUGGCGGAAUGCUUUACACAUGCAAGUCGAACGGUAGAGGGGGCAACCCCUCGAGAGUGGCGAACGGGUGAGUAAUAUAUCGGAACGUGCCCAGUCGUGGGGGGUAACGUAGCGAAAGUUACGCUAAUACCGCAUACGAUCUAAGGAUGAAAGCGGGGGAUCGCAAGACCUCGCGCGAUUGGAGCGGCCGAUAUCAGAUUAGGUAUUUGGUGGGGUAAAGGCUCACCAAGCCAACGAUCUGUAGCUGGUCUGAGAGGACGACCAGCCACACUGGAACUGCGAGACGGUCCAGACUCCUACGGGAGGCAGCAGUGGGGAAUUUUGGACAAUGGACGCAAGUCUGAUCCAGCCAUUCCGCGUGCAGGAUGAAGGCCCUCGGGUUGUAAACUGCUUUUGUACGGAACGAAAAGGUCUCUCUUAAUACGGGGGACUCAUGACGGUACCGUAAGAAUAAGCACCGGCUAACUACGUGCCAGCAGCCGCAGUAAGAC